AUGAUGCCAGACAGCCACCUCCUCCUGCGCGAGUCCAUCUACACGCAUCGCGCGCCGAGUCUCCGCUGCGCAAUGCCGCCGAGAUCCGCCGUCUUCGAUGCGGAGGAGGAAACACCGCUCCACCUCUGGGCGCAUCGCCGGCCACCUACCGCGAUGUCGUGCAAGUCCAGCUCUGGGAAAGCACGCAGGGAAUCAUGA
rnacentral:rRNA from 1 species